rnacentral:rRNA from 1 species
GGCUUAAUACAUGCAAGGCGAAGGGGCAGCAAUGUCACUGUCGUACGGGUGCGUAACGCGUAUGCAACCUACCUAUCACUGGGGGAUAGCCCGGGGAAACCCGGAUUAAUACCGCAUAAAACAGGGGCACCGCAUGGUGAUAUUUGUUAAAGAUUUAUUGGUGAUAGAUGGGCAUGCGUUCGAUUAGCUAGUUGGCGGGGUAACGGCCCACCAAGGCGACGAUCGAUAGGGGAGCUGAGAGGUUGAUCCCCCACACGGGCACUGAGAUACGGGCCCGACUCCUACGGGAGGCAGCAGUAGGGAAUAUUGGGCAAUGGAUGCAAGUCUGACCCAGCCAUGCCGCGUGCCGGAUGAAGGCCCUCAGGGUUGUAAACGGCUUUUAUUCGGGAAGAAGAGCAGGG